rfam:Ictidomys tridecemlineatus contig015367, whole genome shotgun sequence.
GGAGAUAUAACUCAGUUGGUAGAGUACUGGCCUUGCAUGCACAAGACCCUGGGUUCAAUACCCAGCACAACCA